UACGAAGGGGGCUAGCGUUGAUCGGAAUUACUGGGCGUAAAGGGCGCGUAGGCGGUCUUGUAAGUCAGAUGUGAAAGCCCCGGGCUCAACCCGGGAAUAGCAUUUGAUACUGCGAGGCUUGAGUCCGGGAGAGGAUGGCGGAAUUCCCAGUGUAGAGGUGAAAUUCGUAGAUAUGGGGAAGAACACAGGUGGCGAAGGCGGCCAUCUGGACCGGUACUGACGCUGAGGCGCGAAAGCGUGGGGAGCAAACAGG
rnacentral:rRNA from 1 species